UGAUGUGAGGGCGAUCUGGCUGCGACAGCUGUCACCCCAUUGAUUGCCAGGGUUGAUUUGGCUGAUCUGGCUGGCUAGGUGGGUCUCCUGUCCUCCCUCACCACUCCAUGUGUGUCCCUCCCAAAGCUGCGCACUUGGUCAAAGAGGACAACCUUCCCCAACAGAGGCAUACCAUUCAUCAGUCAAGGGUAUACAGUAGCUGCGCUCCCCUGCUAGAACUUCCAAACAAGCUCAAGUAAGCUCUCAUAGAUCUGUAAAAGUUGUUGGAACUUUCAUUUGGGGUAGGGUUUCAGAGGAGAGAUCAGACUACGUGAUGUGGAACUCU
rnacentral:snRNA from 1 species